rnacentral:rRNA from 1 species
GGGUUGUGAGGUUAAGCGACUAAGCGUACACGGUGGAUGCCCUGGCAGUCAGAGGCGAUGAAGGGCGUACUAAUCUGCGAUAAGCGCCGGUAAGGUGAUAUGAACCGUUAUAACCGGCGAUACCCGAAUGGGGAAACCCAGUGUGAUUCGUCACACUAUCAUUAACUGAAUCCAUAGGUUAAUGAGGCGAACCGGGGGAACUGAAACAUCUAAGUACCCCGAGGAAAAGAAAUCAACCGAGAUUCCCCCAGUAGCGGCGAGCGAACGGGGAGGAGCCCAGAGCCUGAAUCAGCAUGUGUGUUAGUGGAAGCGUCUGGAAAGGCGCGCGAUACAGGGUGACAGCCCCGUACACAAAAGCGCAUGUGCUGUGAGCUCGAUGAGUAGGGCGGGACACGUGGUAUCCUGUCUGAAUAUGGGGGGACCAUCCUCCAAGGCUAAAUACUCCUGACUGACCGAUAGUGAACCAGUACCGUGAGGGAAAGGCGAAAAGAACCCCGGCGAGGGGAGUGAAAAAGAACCUGAAACCGUGUACGUACAAGCAGUGGGAGCCCCACCACCAA